rnacentral:rRNA from 1 species
UAGGGAAUAUUGGACAAUGGGGGCAACCCUGAUCCAGCAAUGCCGCGUGAGUGAUGAAGGCCUUAGGGUUGUAAAGCUCUUUUACCCGGGAUGAUAAUGACAGUACCGGGAGAAUAAGCCCCGGCUAACUCCGUGCCAGCAGCCGCGGUAAUACGGAGGGGGCUAGCGUUGUUCGGAAUUACUGGGCGUAAAGCGCACGUAGGCGGCGAUUUAAGUCAGGGGUGAAAGCCCGGUGCUCAACACCGGAACUGCCUUUGCGACUGGAUUGCUUGAAUCACGGAGAGGUGGGUGGAAUUCCGAGUGUAGAGGUGAAAUUCGUAGAUAUUCGGAAGAACACCAGUGGCGAAGGCGGCCCACUGGACGUGUAUUGACGCUGAGGUGCGAAAGCGUGGGGAGCGA